ensembl:snoRNA
UGGACCAAUGAUGAUGACUGGUGGCGUUUGAGGCAAACGUGAUGAAUAAUUGGGGGUCUUGAACUCUGAGGUCCAA